rnacentral:rRNA from 1 species
UACGGAGGGUGCGAGCGUUGUCCGGAAUCACUGGGCGUAAAGGGCGCGUAGGCGGCUCGCUAAGUCGGAUGUGAAAACUCUGGGCUCAACCCAGAGCCUGCAUUCGAAACUGACGAGCUCGAGUUCUGGAGGGGAAAGCGGAAUUCCUGGUGUAGCGGUGAAAUGCGUAGAUAUCAGGAGGAACACCGGUGGCGAAGGCGGCUUUCUGGACAGAAACUGACGCUGAUGCGCGAAAGCUAGGGGAGCAAACAGG